rnacentral:rRNA from 1 species
GAUGAACGCUGGCGGCGUGCUUAACACAUGCAAGUCGAACGGAACUACUCCAAUGAGAGUCUUCGGAAAGGAUUUGGUUUAGUUUAGUGGCGGACGGGUGAGUAACGCGUGGGUAACCUGCCCUAUACAGGGGGAUAACAGUUGGAAGCGACUGUUAAUACCGCAUAAGCGCACAGGAGCGCAUGCUCCGGUGUGAAAAACUCCGGUGGUAUAGGAUGGACCCGCGUCUGAUUAGCUGGUUGGCGGGGUAACGGCCCACCAAGGCGACGAUCAGUAGCCGGCCUGAGAGGGUGAACGGCCACAUUGGGACUGAGACACGGCCCAAACUCCUACGGGAGGCAGCAGUGGGGAAUAUUGCACAAUGGGGGAAACCCUGAUGCAGCGACGCCGCGUGAGCGAAGAAGUAUCUCGGUAUGUAAAGCUCUAUCAGCAGGGAAGAAAAUGACGGUACCUGACUAAGAAGCCCCGGCUAACUACGUG